CCUUCGGGCCUCAUGCCAUCAGAUGUGCCCAGAUGGGAUUAGCUAGUAGGUGGGGUAACGGCUCACCUAGGCGACGAUCCCUAGCUGGUCUGAGAGGAUGACCAGCCACACUGGAACUGAGACACGGUCCAGACUCCUACGGGAGGCAGCAGUGGGGAAUAUUGCACAAUGGGCGCAAGCCUGAUGCAGCCAUGCCGCGUGUGUGAAGAAGGCCUUCGGGUUGUAAAGCACUUUCAGCGGGGAGGAAGGCG
rnacentral:rRNA from 1 species